UAUGGCCACAUCAUGUUGAAACACCAGUUUCGUUACGAUCACCGAUGUUAAGCAACGCUGAGCCUGGUCCAGACCUAGAUGGGUGACCACUUGGGAAUUACAGGUGCUGCAAU